rnacentral:rRNA from 1 species
UGGGGAAUAUUGGACAAUGGGCGAAAGCCUGAUCCAGCCAUGCCGCGUGUGUGAAGAAGGUCUUCGGAUUGUAAUGCACUUUAAGUUGGGAGGAAGGGCAGUAAGCGAAUACCUUGCUGUUUUGACGUUACCGACAGAAUAAGCACCGGCUAACUCUGUGCCAGCAGCCGCGGUAAUACAGAGGGUGCAAGCGUUAAUCGGAAUUACUGGGCGUAAAGCGCGCGUAGGUGGUUCGUUAAGUUGAAUGUGAAAGCCCCGGGCUCAACCUGGGAACUGCAUCCCAAGCUGGCGAGUUAUAGUAGGGCAGAGGGUGGUGGAAUUUCCUGUGUAGCGGUGAAAUGCGUAGAUAUAGGAAGGAACACCAGUGGCGAAGGCGACCACCUGGGCUCAUACUGACACUGAGGUGCGAAAGCGUGGGGAGCAAACAGG